GUAACCUGCCUUGGAGUGGGAAUAACAGCUGGAAACAGCUGCUAAUACCGCAUAAUAUAUCUGGGUCGCAUGGCUCUGGAUAUCAAAGAUUUAUCGCUCUGAGAUGGACUCGCGUCUGAUUAGCUAGUUGGUGGGGCAACGGCCCACCAAGGCGACGAUCAGUAGCCGGACUGAGAGGUUGGCCGGCCACAUUGGGACUGAGACACGGCCCAGACUCCUACGGAAGGCAGCAG
rnacentral:rRNA from 1 species